rnacentral:rRNA from 1 species
AGCAGCAGCCGCGGUAAGACAGAGGAUGCAAGCGUUAUCCGGAAUGAUUGGGCGUAAAGCGUCUGUAGGUGGCUUUUCAAGUCCGCCGUCAAAUCCCAGGGCUCAACCCUGGACAGGCGGUGGAAACUACCAAGCUGGAGCACGGUAGGGGCAGAGGGAAUUUCCGGUGGAGCGGUGGAAUGCGUUGAGAUCGGAAAGAACACCAACGGCGAAAGCACUCUGCUGGGCCGACACUGACACUGAGAGACGAAAGCUAGGGGAGCAAAUGGGAUUAGAUACCCCAGUAGUCCCUGUCUCUUAUAC